rnacentral:rRNA from 1 species
UACGUAGGGUGCAAGCGUUGUCCGGAAUUAUUGGGCGUAAAGAGCUCGUAGGCGGUUUGUCACGUCGGAUGUGAAACCCUGAGGCUCAACCUCAGGCCUGCAUUCGAUACGGGCAGACUAGAAUUCGGCAGGGGAGACUGGAAUUCCUGGUGUAGCGGUGAAAUGCGCAGAUAUCAGGAGGAACACCGAUGGCGAAGGCAGGUCUCUGGGCCAUAACUGACGCUGAGAAGCGAAAGCAUGGGGAGCGAACAGG